rnacentral:lncRNA from 1 species
AUUUAAUCAAGCCUGCAUUUAUUAAUCAAAGUGCACUUUUAGAUUUCAUCCGAAGUGCUCAAGUGAACAUUUCCCAAUGGGUGUUAAACUUGGGUGCACAGACUCUCACGUGGCUCCUAGUCUCAAGUCCACACCCCCACUUCAUGCUCUUACUCUUGGCUGAGUCCCAUGGAGGCCCAUUAGGGAAUCCUGCAGGAUCAGCCGUUGACCAGGACGGACGGACGGCUGGCUGGGGAAUACCAUGCUUAUGUCAUUCAGAGACAAGCAUUUCUUGAGCGCCUGCUGUGGGGGCUCGGCCGGGUGCUGCUGAUGGUGCACUGGUGUAAGCCCAGCCCACAGUUCCUGUCCUCAUGGAAUUUGCAGCCUAGUGAGGAAGAUCCUCCCAAGUCAAAUAACCACAAGGUAACUGCAGGGAGAGACACCGGGAUAAUUUCUGUGAAGAGAGGACAUGGGGUGGCUCCGAGAGCCCCUGACAGAGGGAACUUUGUGGUCCUAGAAACCAGGUGGUGUUUUCCUGAGGAAAUGACAUUUUCCUCUGGAUCAGAGCUGAGGAAGGUGCCUCUGUGUGUCCCGUGGCCGCUGUGACACUGACCACACACCUGGGGCUGGAAAAUAAUACUCUCUCCCACAGCUCUGGAGCGCAGGAGCCAUGGGCUGAGGCCAGAAUGUUUGCUCCAGGAGCGUCCCUCGUGGCCCGUUCAGGUGCCCAGAGUUGCGGGCCUUGCACGCCUUGUACGCCUUGUUCCCUGGCGCCUCCUCCUUCCAUGUGGGUGUGCAGCAUCCCGCUCCAGGGCCUUCAGCCUCUGCGCCCCUCAUCUGCUGAUGCAGGUGAUGGCAUUUAAGGCCCACCUGGGUACUCCUAGGAUUCACCUUUAUCACCGCAUGAGGGAGCAUUCCCAGGUUCCAGGGAUUAGGGAUAGGACUGGGAUUCCUUUGGGGGCUGCUCUCCCGCCCACCACUGUGCCGGAAUGUGAUGCACACAGCGGCCAGCAUAUCCAAAGGCCCCAGGAGGACCUGGGGUGGCUGGAACAGGACCUGGUGCCGGGAGCAGGCGGGGCCGGGGAUUCCCGACAAAGGCUUGAUGUGUACUUGAAGUGAG